rnacentral:misc_RNA from 1 species
GAUGAAGAACGUAGCGAAAUGCGAUAAGUAAUGUGAAUUGCAGAAUUCAGUGAAUCAUCGAAUCUUUGAACGCACAUUGCGCCCGCCAGCAUUCUGGCGGGCAUGCCUGUUCGAGCGUCAUUUCAACCCUCGGGCCCCCCCGGGGGCCUCGGUGUUGGGGGACGGCACACCAGCCGCCCCCGAAAUGCAGUGGCGACCCCGCCGCAGCCUCCCCUGCGUAGUAGCACACACCUCGUACCGGAGCGCGGAGGCGGUCACGCCGUAAAACGCCCAACUUUCUUAGAGUUGACCUCGGAUCAGGUAGGAAUACCCGCUGAACUUAAGCAUAUCAAUAAGCGGAGGA